GGUUUAAUUUGUAAGAAAAUGGGGUCUACAAGUAAAUAAAUAUCUUUUUAAAACAUCUCCUGAUGAUUUGCUAAAUCUAAAGAAACAAAUAAAUCAAAAGUAAAAUAGCAUUUGAAGCUGGAGAAAAAAGGAAAGAAAAUAAAAUAUAAUUAGUCAUUGUUAGAGCACUUGCUCUCUUUUAUAUUGAAGGCUCAAGGCUUCCCUCAAACCACUUUCCUCCAUGAUACAAGUAUAGAAGGAGAGAGAGAGAGAGAGAGACUUCUACGGAGGAGUUUCCAUGUUUCUACUGCAACUAGAGGAGGCAUCCAAAGGGAUCGCAUUGAUCCCGAGUGUCCCUGGCCAUAAUUUUGGAUCAUGCUAUCCCUUUGGAUUCCUCCUUUGGUGGCUUCUAUAGCAUUAACGGGUUUCAGUGGCGAUGCUCCACACUCCCUUCUCGUGCAUCAUCAACACCAGCAACUUCAACAUGGCUCGAGAAAGAGAAUUCUAUAAUACCAACAGAUCAAGAACCGCACUGUUGAGCUGUUGUUUCAGGGUAUGAUUGGGAUUGUUAUCGCUUGUAAUAUUAAUGUUCUUUCCUUCGGCUGAGCCUGAGCAAAUUAUAUCAUGACUACAUAAUUUUUUUAAAACCCUGAACCGCUUUGCUAAACGCCAAUCACUUGAUAACUGUAGAAGUGGUUUGAAACUGCUUUUUUUUUUUUUAAUAUUCAAGUAUAUUAAUUAAAAGAUGGUCAUUUAGAAGAUGUCCUAUGAAAAGUUAAAUAACCGUUUACAAGAAAAUAAAAUGUUUAUGUUACAAAUUAUGAAAUAGAAAGAAACAUAAUAGGAAAACAAUAAUUAAAUUAAUGAUAUGUAUUUGUCCACACCUGAAUAUCAUUUGCACUACCAAUAAAAUCGUUACACGUACAAUUAAAAUUAGAUUUAUUAUACUUUAUUCAAACUGAUAAUUUAUACAAAAUCAGAAAGAGACUGAAAUUCUAAUCUAGUUAUACAUUGUUAAAAAUAAAAUCGUGUUAAAAAUAAAAUUAUUUUUUAUGAGUCAAACACUCAAUGCUAUGUCCAAAAAAAAAAGAAUCCAAAUCCGAGUUCAAAAUCGAUCAUUGAUAAAUCAAUAAAUCUAGAGUCUAUCUAGAAUACUCCCCAUCGUUAUAAGAAUUUUGCUCAUAAUUGCUAAGUGUUAAAGCAAUAGAAUAACAAAUGAUCCAAAAUCUUCUGUUCCACCGCACAAAAUAAAUAUUUGGAUUACUCUAUUGAUAAUAACUGAUGUCUGAAAAGAAAAUCACAUAGAAAGUUAAUUUUUGACUGCCAGCAACAUAAUUGAGGAAAUCUUACUAUAUAGUAAUUAAGAUAUGUUUCCAACUUUCCAUCAUAAUAUAUCGUUAUAUAAAGACAAGCAUAUCAGGCUAAAGCAUCACUAUAGAUUAUUGCUCCUAUAUAUAGUGAUAAAAGAGGUUUCCAGUAAUUAGAAAUUUAGUAAAAAUAGUUGGUGGAAGAGCAAUUGAAUCAACAUAUACAUAAAUUCAAGUGAUUAAUUUUUUUUUGGGGGGGGUAUACAUUAAAAAUUAAUUGUCAGUGUUGGAAGAAAGGGAGAGUUAGAUUUAAAAUACAUCAUAAUAAAAGGUUAAUCUUACCAUCACAACAAAGAUGAGGGAUAGCUUUGGAGUACACCUCUUACAAAAGAUGCAAACAAAUGUAAUUUUUAAUAUUUGUUAAGAAUUAGACCUAUUACUAAUGAACUAAAGACCAACUGGCUAUAUAUAUAUAGGAUAUUUAUUUUUUAAUAAAAAUUAUAUAAUAAGUUACAAUUAAUGUUAUAAUCAUUCAAAUGGUGCAUUAGCAGCAAGUUAUUUUUAUGUUAAUUUUUUAAUUCAUUAGAAUAAGAAAAAAAAAAAACAAGAUUUCAGAAGUUUCCCGAAUCUAUGAGAAAGUUUAGCCUAAUUAACACUUUGAGUUGUGUAAUUGAUUGGCAGUGGGGUCGUGAUUUUUGAAAUGAUGAUUUUCAACUUAACAAUGAAAGAGUCAAAUUCUUCAAUCAAAUGAAUAUGAAGUGGAAACAAUACAAGAAGAGGGGGUCCUAGGGCUCGGAAGUCAUAAUUUUUCGGACACACGAAUGUACAAAAUGUCUUCGAACGUGAAAUAUGUAACCCAAAUGUCACCCUCUUGGACUACAUAAAUUUUAUGAAGGACAUGUGUAACUUCCGAAAGAAAAACCCUAGGUGUGAUUUUUUUUCUAAGCCCUCGAGGAAUUGGAUGCUCCUUGCCUGGGGACCCAAACCCUUUUGACUUCCCUUCAAAACUAGCGCUCCCUAACCCUCUCCUUUACUCGCACUGUGUAUAACUUAAUUUGUAGCCAUGAAUCAGGAUAAUAUCGAUUUGAUUGAGAUAUGUUAUAUAUAAAGUCGGUGAGCUCAAACCAUUACCCGUUCUUUAUGUGCUCUUCUUUUUUCUAGUCGAGAUUGAUUGAUCAUGGAAGGAUAUUGUCGCUGGUAAUCAUAAGACACUAGCUUUGUUAAAUAUAUAUACACGAUUAACCCAAUUUAAAACACUCUAAUUAUCAAUUAAUUAAUAUUCCCUUGUAGAUCAACCACACUUUGUUUACACCUUUAAAAAAUCCAUUAAAUCACGUUCUAAUACUUAUAUAAAUGCCUUUCUAUAUAUUAUCAAUCGAUCCACCAGUAAAUAGCACACAUCCCUUUGGGUCCUAACCCUGGGAGGUUUCUAGCUAAUUACAUUGUGUCCAUAUAUCAAUGCAGCAAUGAGCAAGAAUUAUUAAAUAACAUGACAAUUUGCUCAAGCAGAGUUGCUAAUUAUACUAUAUUGGAUGCUGUAUUGAAAAUAGGGCUGGGCCAGCCAAAGAUGUUGGAGACUGCGUGUAACAUGUGUAACCCCAAUGUUUUGGUGGGUUGCACCUUGGUUAAUUGGUGCUAAGAAUCCAACGAUGUAACUGUAAACUGGCUAGCUGAAACACAAUCUUGAUAGAAUCCUCUACACCAUCAUGCUGUAUUUGACUAAAUUGCUACACUAUGUAUCUACCGCUAUUAAGCACUAGUGAUGAUUUUGUGGGAGCAAGUCCAAGGUCAGGGAAAUAGGAGCCCCACCUCACUUGACGUCAUUUUGCCUCCAAAUUUAUAUAGAUUCAGAUUCUAUGAACUCUAGAAUUCUAGGAAUUUUCCUUGUACAAUCCCCCAACCUUUUGUUGCGAUAAUAUAUGAUGUUUUCAUUCC